UCCCUGGUGGCUCAGAUGGUAAAGAAUCUGCCUGUAAUGCAGGAGACCUAGGUUCGAUCCCUGGGUUGGGAA
rnacentral:tRNA from 1 species